rnacentral:lncRNA from 1 species
UUCAUCAACUCCAACGGCAGACGAUGCCAAAAAUUACGAAAAUGAAACGGAAAAUCAGGACACUGAGUAUCAUCCACGUGAGCGAGGUCAAUUUCGACAAGGAAGAGGAUUCAUGCCCAUGGAGAACAGAUUUCACGGGAAUCAAACAUUUACGAAUCCGGCACAUCAAGCGCAAUUCGAACAAAUUCAACAUCGCCCUCUUCCAGUAUGUAAGCACGUCGACUCAUUCUCAUUAUAUUCUUUAGAUAUUGAAGAAUCUGUUAAUCAAUAUUUUGAUGCUAUUGGGUGGACUGAUUUUGCUGUUAUUGAUGAACUUGCAUAUUAUGAGUUGGUUUUUGAAUUUUAUUCUACAUUUUACUUCAACCGUUCUGCCAACACCAUAGAUACGCCUCAUGCUGUCAAUUUUCGCUUGCUAGGUGUACAUUAUAAUCUGUCUAUUUCUGAGUUUAAUGUUGCUUUGGGAUUUGUUAAUGAGGACUAUUUAGCAACUGAUGACUAUUAUGACUCUUUUCUCGACAUACCACCUAACUUUGAUGCUAAUGAAGCCUUGGCAUUGUUAACUGAAAUGAGACAGAUUUCGUACGAUCUGAAACGUUGCAAAGACAUAGGAAUUCAUAGUCCUGUACUUCGAUAUAUACACCGAUUCCUUGCUUUCAAUUUUUCGGGACGUAAUGAUGCAUCUGUUUCUUUAACUAGGACUGAAUUAUUUUUUCUAUGGUGCAUGCAUUCAAGAAAAAAGGUAAAUUUAGGAUAUUGGUUUGCUAUAUAGUUUCAGCAUGUUUUGCGAUCGAAUCGGCCACUUAUUUUGGGUACUUACAUCACACGUUUAGCCUCUAAUUUGAAUCCAUCAGCUGUCAAUUUUAGUUCUUUGAAUUUGGCAUACAAAAUAGAUUCUUUAGAUACAUACUGUUUAGAUUCUAUGGGGUUACUUACCGGUACCCCUUCUUCUUUUUAUUUUGUUCCUCUAGGUACAAGAACAGAUCGGUCGCAUAGAGUGUUCAGACGAAGACACCAGUACGGACCAGAGCCUCCAAAUUUUGUCGAAUCUCGGUUAACCUGAAUCGAAGAAGGACUCGACUCUUUACGUACCUUAGUGACAGACAUUCUCACACAUCUACGAGACCAUCCUCCACGACGUUGAAAUACAUGAGAAGUUUAUUUUUCUUCUUUUGUCUACUUACUUUUACCUUAUAUCCUUUAAUAUUACAUUGGGACAAUGUAAAAUAAGUAGAGGGAGGGAAACAUAAAUUGGUUCUAAUUUGCUUAUCUGUCAUCGCUAUUUUUGCAUGUUUUUGGUAAAAGAUAAAUUUUUCUUUUAAUUGGGAUGGUACACUUAUGGUUUGACCGAUUUAGCUAUUUAAUUCUUUACACAUGAAACUUUUCAAUAACCUAGACUUAAUGGGUAAGAAAUUUUUGGGAAUUAUGAGUUUGCUUGAUUGCCUAC